GCAAAUCUUGGUGUGAACCUUGAAGGCCGAGGUGGAGAAUGGUCCCAAGGUGACAGCAGUCGGCUGUGUCAGACGGUCCUAUGUAAUCCGGUAACUUGAUGUACGGUUACAAAGCAGCCCCUGUAGCGAAAAUAAAUGGGGUUAAUAUUCCCGACUAUACCCACGGCGACUGUUGCAUUAUGGUCUCAAACCAAUCUGAAUCUAGCGUGAUAAUGCGGCCGGCCUUGGAGACAUCGGAAGGAGUUCUGGAAAGUAUACUUUUUUCCGAGCAACGCAUUAUCCCCUGAAAUCGAGUUGUCUGGAGACAAGCGACUAGCCUCCGUAAAGCGUCACAUUUCUUGUGGUGUCCGGAACGCUUUUUCUGGCCCUUAAAAAUCCGAGCGACGCAGGCCGCACUUAUAUCCGCAUUAUGUAUUUAAGGUGAACAGCCUUUGGCG
rfam:Clonorchis sinensis DNA, scaffold: 407, strain: Henan.